GCACUCAUGUGGGUGCCAGAAUAAUCCAUGAAUCCUGGUAUGUGGACGAGGAAAUGACUUAUUUUAGGUGCUCUCUUCUGAGAGGCUGGCUUACAGCCUAAGUCAAGACAGAGGUACUGCAGCGAUUCAUGUUAACCUGUGAUUUAAGAAAUCCACUUUGCAAUAUUUGAUUUAUGGGGAUUGUUAAUAGGUAUGUCUUGCUUUAUGUAAGAGACCCAUUUCAGAAGAUUUCUCCUUAACUAUAACUUUGAGAAAUUGUCUCAUUUCUUCCUUUAACCUCUGUGAUCAUCACAGAGACACUUUGCCUGCAUUUCUGAGGAAAGCACAAGCAGAACUCAUCUUAACUGCUAUCUGUUAGAUCAAUAAAGAACAAGCAAAAUAAAAGUCUUAAAUUGUACUCUCUCUUACUUUUUCUCCAGUACUCUUCCUUUCUUUAUGUAGAUAAGAGCUUCUGGCCUAUGUCAUUUUCCAUCUGUUUGAAGAACUUGUUUUUAACAUUUUUUGCAAGGCAAGUCUAAUAAUAGUAAAUUAUAUUAAUUUUUAUUUGUUUGAGAAAGUUUUUCCUUCACUUUUGAAGGAUAAUGUUGUAGGGUAUAGAAUUCCAAGUUGGUGAGUUUUUUUUCUUUCCUCUCAACACUAAAUAUUUCACCCAUUCUCUUCUUGUGUAAAUGGUUUUUGAAGAAAAGUCAGAUUUAAUUCUUAUCUUUGUUCUUCUGUAGGUAAGGUGAGGAUUUUUUCCUCUGGAUUCUUUCAGGAUUUUUUUUUCUUUAUCUUUUAUUUUUUUUUUCAGUUUGAAUAUGAUAUACAUAGAUGUGAUUUGGGGAGCAUUUAUUCCACUUGGUUGUCCCUGAGUUUUCUGGAUUUGUGGCUUGGAAACUGACAUUAACAUUGCUUCACAUAGGACUUUUGUUCCUUUCUCUCUUGGUUUUCCCUUUGGCAAUACCUGUUGCACAGUAAGGUAUAGGAUACCUUUUGUAUAAGGUAAGGUAUAGCAUACCUUUGUAUAAGGUAAGGUAUAGCUAUACCUUUUGCAAUGGCCCUAAAGUUCUUGGAUAUUCUGUUCCUUUUUUGUUCAGUCUUUUUUCUUUCAAUUUUUUUUUCAGUUUUAGAAGAUUCUACAGGCAUAUCCUCAAUCUCAAAGAUUCUUUCCUAAGCCUUAUCCAGUUUAGUAGCCCAUGAAAGGAACUCUUUAUUUCCGUUACAGUGUUUUCGAUCUUUAACAUUUCUUUUUUAUUUUUAUUUUUUGUCUUUGUAGGGCCUCACCUGCAGCAUAUGGAGGUUCCCAGGCUAGGGGUCAAAUCAGAGCUGUAGCCGCUGGCCUGCACUGCAGUCACAGCAAUGCCAGAUCUAAGUUGCGUCUGUGACCUACACCACAGCUCAUGGCAACGCUGGAUCCUUAACGCACUGCACGAGGCCAGGGAUCAAAUGUGCUUCCUCAUGGAUACCAGUUAGAUUCAUUUAUGUUGAACUACGAAGGGAACUCCUUGAUUCUUUCUUAAAAUUUCUACCUUUCUGUUUGUAUUACCCAUCUAUUCUUGCAUGUUGUUUAUUUUUUCCAGUAAAGGCCUUAGCAUAUUAUUCAUAGUUUAAAAAAACAAUCUUGGCCUGAUAAUUUCAACAUUCUGGCUGUAUAUGACUUUGGUUCUAAUGCUUGUUCAAUUUCUUCCAACUGUGCUUUGUUUGCGUUUUAGUAUACCUUGCCAUUCUUUCCUGAUAACCAGACAUGACGUGCUGGUGAAAAGAACUGUGCUAAAUAGGCCGUUAGUGGUAUGGUGGUGAGUAUAGGGGAAGAGACAUAUGCUAUAGUCCUAUAAUUAGGUCCCAGUCUUUUAGUGAACCUAUGUCCUUGAGCUGUGAACUUCAUGAUGUUCCUUAGAAUUUUUUCCCCUUCUGUGAGAAAGGAUGGUUAGAGGGGCUCCAUUGUAUAUUUCCCUUCUUCCACAUGGAAAGCUGAAGCAGGUUGGAGUUGGGUGUUUCCCUCUCCCGGUCAGUUGGGCUCUGAUAAAACUCUGGUAGGUUAGGCUCGGGUAAGAUAAUUUCUCGUGGGGGCAGGCCUUGUUAGAACAGAGUGCUCUGUGUAUUUCACGAUGGCUCUUUUCUCCAUCUCCCUGCUCAAGGCCUGAGGGCGUGUCUCUUCUAUCCUCAUUGUGAGCUUAGGUUGGGGGGAAACCUGUGAAUUCGAGGACCUCCCUGUGACUUGGCCCUGCCAGAGUUUUCACUCUCAGACUUGAACCUUCAGUAAUUCAUCAUUUAUACCUCUGCUGUCCUUAUCCCUGUGUCCUGCAGAGGUUUCUGCUUGUGAGUUUCUCCUCCAGUACCUUGUAAUUUUCUGUAUCUGCCUGACGCACGUCUCCCCAGUUUGGGGGGCAGUGGUUCACCCUACGACAUCACUUCUCUGACAGAUCUAGAAAGAGUUGUUGAUGUUUCAGGUUAGCUUUUUACUUGCUGUUAGGAUGAGGGUGAAAACGCCAGACUCCUUACGUGCCCAACCAGAGACUGAAAGUCACAGGAGGGCCUCACAGUAUUAAAAUGAGUACAGUACUGGGCAAACCAGGGUGGUUGGUCAUUCUACCUGGGACUGAAGAGACCUGAGGUCUUGUCUUGGCUCUGGCGAGUCCUCUUGGGAAUGGCCUUCAAUGCCUUGAAGCCCCUGUUUCCUUUUGUGUGAGAUGAGAGUAGACCUCGGGCUUAUUUUCAGUCCAUAGGAUCUGCUUUUCUUUAUGGUGUGUAUUUUUAAGGCAAGGUAUUUCUGGGCCUAAAUUAAUCAAGUCUCCUCCUGGGAGAUGAAUCCUAAAUUCUCCUGUUAAACAUCCUUUUUUUUUGAACUUGGAAUAAUCUUGGCUUGGAAGAUACAGUGACCCCUUUGCUCUCAGAGAGAGGCUUCCCUGCUGCUUUGACCCAUCAUGAUGUUUGUCACACAGUGGGGGUUUUUCCCCCUUUGACACUAUCCUAUUUGAAAACAGAACAAUCCUUGCUAAGAAUGGUCUUAGGAUCUCCUGUCCCUUUUGGUUGAAUGCGACUUAAAGGAGCCAAAGUAGAAGCAAGAGUGAGGUGAGAGGAUGAUGUGACGAUCUGGUCCAGCCUGUGAGCUGGAGACACAAGUCUUGCAGGGGGGCCUCCGGUUUCUCUCCCGGUACCUUUCAGGCUCUGCUUCUCCACUUCUUCCAUGGUCCCUGAUUUGCUCGGCAACAUAAUCAGAAGCAUUAAGCACAUCAUUAUCUUCCAAAGUCCACAGCAGAGAAAGAGCUAAGGCAAUUUUUAUGAAAACUGUAAUGUGUCCACUUGAACACAAACCCUAAUUUCCUGACGUCUAGCUCUAGUUUGAAGAAUUGCCUGAUUUAUUUUAAAAUUGAAUUUUGCUGUCAGAAAAGCUGCCAAUACUCACUGCCAGCGUUGUUAUUUUUCUUUAUGUGUUUUAGUCUUAGCUCUUGAGUAUAAAAAGCUCUCUUCCUCCUUCUCUUCCAAGAGUUGAGUUUCAACUGCGUGACCAGAUUAUACAAUUCUGCAUGGGUUUAAGGCUUCGCAGGGAAGUGGAAGAUGCUGUUGGCUCAUGGUCUCUUUUGCAAAGAACAGAUUUUCGAGUGGCACAGAGACAUAGUGAGAGGUGAAACAAUUCUAAAACGUAGAAAAGGCCUUGCAAGCUGUCCUGCUCCAACUCUGCGUCCCCUGGCAGGACGGUCUUCAAGCCACUCCAAGUAGAAAAGGGGACAUCACAGUGUCCUUUGGGAAACAUUGCAUUCCCAAGAGGGUCUUGUAUAAGGUCUUUAAUUUCAAACCAGCUCCGUCAACGACCAUGGAGGACAACAAUGUGUAACAGACACAGUUUCAAGUACUUGAAAUGUGGUAGUGAGCAGGACCAUAAAUAAAUAAAAUCAGGGAUACGCUCUGUCAAGAGAAUGAAACAGGGCCAUGUGGUGAAGAGGCCUGGGGUUGACCGACCUGGGAGGGAAGAGACAAGGAAGGGCGGGGCUGCGUAAGUGGUGAUGUUUCCGAGGAGACCUGGAGGAGGGUCAUUACCUUCUACCCUACGGACAACUGGGAGCUGGCUACGCUGUCUCAACUGGGUGAGCACAGUGCAGUGUAGUCAGUAACUGAUUGCCACACCCAGGUAAGGGUGCGUGUGUUGUCUUCUUAAAGGAAACUCUGUGAGGCACUGUUAUUCCCAUUUUGCACACUGAGAUUCGGAGGCCCCAAGUGCCUGAGGGGUCCUAUACAUCCCUUAUUCCUUUGCAUGUUGAACACUGAGAUGCCUUUUCCUUUGCUCACUACUUUCCUUUGCCCAAAGUCCCACAGUCCAAGGAACUGGAUCUUUCAUGCCUGGUGCUGUUUGACCUUUGGUCAGUCACCUUUGGGACCAGUUUGCCCAUUUAUAGAUGGACAGGAUGCCCUUAGGAGACCUCGCAGACUUUAGGUAUUUUGAACUUGAAAUUCAUCCUUACAUGGUGCCCCUUCCACCUAAUCAGAUCAUGUCACUCCUCGCUCAUAAGCCUCCUGAGAUUUCUCCUGCUUCAUAAAAUUCCAGGGCAUUACCAUGGCCCUCAGAGUCCUUCGGGAUCUUGCCUGUCCCUCUGAACUCACCUGUCAGCAUCUCCAUCCUCCUGUAGCCACACAGCAUUCUUGCUAUUCUUGGAACCCACGGGUGGAUCCUUUCUCAGGGCCUUCAACCUCAUGUUUCUUUCCCUUGGAGCAUCCCCCGCCCCACUUCCCCACCUAACCUGAAUCUCUCUCUGCUCCAAGUUCACGUUCUCAAAAAGGCCCUUCUGGAUGACCCCAUUCCAACAGUUAAGCAAGCGCCCUCCCCAUCACUCCCCCCGACCCCGCCUUGUUCUACAUUUUCUUCAUGUAUCUCCAUCCUCAUGUUUGUCUUUCUUCUACCUCCCCCAGAAUGUAAGCCCCAUGAGAUUUAUAACCUCGUCUGUUUUGUUAUUUCAGUACCCUGGAACACUAAAAAGUGCCAGGUAUAUAUAGGCCUUCUCAUCAGUUGUUCUUGAGUACAUGUUCAUAUCUGUGUUCUCAUUAGUAGUGACAAAUGCUUAAAAGAGAAGGCUCUGGAGUGAAAUUUCCCCAGUUUCUUAAAUGAGUUCUGGAAGUUCCCAUCGUAGCUCAGUGGUUAACAAAUCUGACUAGCAUCCAUGAGGAUGCAGGUUCGAUCUCUGGCCUUGCUCAGUGCGUUAAAGAUUCAGCAUUGCCGUGAGCUUCAGUGUAGGUCACGGAUGCGGCUGGGAUCUGGCAUUGCUGUGGCUGUGGCGUAGGCCGGCAAUUACAGCUCUGACUUGACGCUUAGCCUGGGAACCUACAUAUGCCACAAGUGCAGCCCUAGAAACCAAAAAAAAAAAAAAAAAA
rnacentral:lncRNA from 1 species